AUUGAACGCUGGCGGCAGCCCUUACACAUGCAAGUCGAGCGAGAAAGUUUCUUCGGAAGCGAGUAAAGCGGCGGACGGGUGAGUAACGCGUAGGAAUCUACCAUUCAGUGGGGGAUAGCUCGGGGAAACCCGAAUUAAUACCGCAUAUACCCUAAGGGGGAAAGAGGGCCUAUCCUUGGAAGCUCUUGCUGUUUGAUGAGCCUGCGUGAGAUUAGUUUGUUGGUGAGGUAAUGGCUCACCAAGACUACGAUCUCUAGCUGGUCUGAGAGGACGAUCAGCCACACUGGGACUGAGACACGGCCCAGACUCCUACGGGAGGCAGCAGUGGGGAAUAUUGGACAAUGGGGGCAACCCUGAUCCAGGCAUGCCCGCGUGUGUGAAGAAGGCCUUCGGGUUGUAAAGCACUUUAGGUAAGGAAGAAAAGUUAUUGGUUAACACCCAAUGACCGUGACAUUACUUACAGAAUAAGGACCGGCUAACUCCGUGCCAGCAGCCGCGGUAAUACGGAGGGUCCAAGCGUUAAUCGGAAUUACUGGGCGUAAAGCGCGCGUAGGCGGUUUGACAAGUUGGGUGUGAAAUCCCCGGGCUUAACCUGGGAACUGCAUUCAAAACUUUUAAACUGGAGUACGGGAGAGGAGAGUAGAAUUCAUGGUGUAGCGGUGAAAUGCGUAGAUAUCAUGAGGAAUACCAAUGGCGAAGGCAACUCUCUGGACCGUAACUGACGCUGAGGUGCGAAAGCGUGGGUAGCAAACAGGAUUAGAUACCCUGGUAGUCCACGCCGUAAACGAUGACAACUAGCCGUUGGACUUUCGGGUUCAGUGGCACAGCUAACGCAUUAAGUUGUCCGCCUGGGGAGUACGGCCGCAAGGCUAAAACUCAAAUGAAUUGACGGGGGCCCGCACAAGCGGUGGAGCAUGUGGUUUAAUUCGAUGCAACGCGAAAAACCUUACCAACCCUUGACAUCUAGUGAAAUUUCUAGAGAUAGAUUUGUGCCUUCGGGAACACUAAGACAGGUGUUGCAUGGCUGUCGUCAGCUCGUGUCGUGAGAUGUAUGGUUAAGUCCAGUAACGAGCGCAACCCUUAUCCUUAUUUGCCAGCACUUCGGGUGGGAACUCUAAGGAGACUGCCGUGAAUAACACGGAGGAAGGUGGGGACGACGUCAAGUCAUCAUGGCCCUUACGGGUUGGGCUACACACGUGCUACAAUGGGAGAUACAAUGGGUUGCGAAAGCGCGAGCUGGAGCCAAUCCCACUAAGUCUUCCUUAGUCCGGAUUGGAGUCUGCAACUCGACUCCAUGAAGCAGGAAUCGCUAGUAAUCGCGAAUCAGAAUGUCGCGGUGAAUACGUUCUCGGGCCUUGUACACACCGCCCGUCACGUCAUGGGAGUGUGUUGUACCAGAAGUGGUUUGUCUAACCUUCGGGAGGACGGCCCCCACGGUAUGAUACGCGACUGGGACGAAGUCGUAACAAGGUAGCCCUAGGGGAACCUGGGGCUGGAUCACCUCCUAUAUAUUUAUACACAGCCUAAGUUAUUCGUGAGUGUCCGUUCGAAUUAUAUGAAUUUUUUACCCUUUAAAUUUUGAUUUUCUGGGUACGUGCGUUCUUUAAAAGUAUUGUAAUCCAACGAUUAAUGGAUGAGAUUGAUGAGAUCUCUUAAUCCAUUAAUUUAGAUUAAUAAUUAAUGUUAUCAAUUAUUAAUCAACUAUUUUAAAAGCGAAUUUCGCUUUUACGAUAGAUCAAGUUCGGAAUAAAUUUAUUUAUUCCAAAUUUAUACAAUAAUGUUCUGAAAAUUUAUUUUCAGAAUGCUAAUGGCAAAUUUAAUUGGCGCUUAUUAUUCAAAAAAGUCUUAACACUUUUUUAAAAUUAGUUUUUUAAAAACAUAUAGUUAAGUAAUUAAGUGCAUAUGACGGAUGCCUUGGCAGCUAGAGGCGAUGAAGGACGUAGUAAUCUGCGAUAAGCUUCGGUAAGCUGAUAAACAAGCUAUAACCCGAAGAUCU
rnacentral:rRNA from 1 species